AUGCGAAACCAAUGGUUGCUACCACGCUCGCACGCAGCACCGUCAGAUCUCAUCAUCGGUUUCCCUCCCUUCUUGAACGCGUCAGCCGCGACUCUCCAGCGAAUGCUUCUUAUCGCCAGCAUCACACAGAACGCACCCAACAAACCGGAUAUCCCACUUUCAACUCCCCUGCAGCUGCUCCAUUGUAGAUCCGACAAGCUCUAA